rnacentral:tRNA from 1 species
AGAUAUAUAGCUCAGUGGUAGAGCACAUGCCUAGAACAUAUGUGGCCCUGAGUUCAAUCCCUAGUAUGGGUG